rnacentral:rRNA from 1 species
GAUGAACGCUGGCGGCGUGCCUAAUACAUGCAAGUCGAGCGAACAGACGAGGAGCUUGCUCCUCUGACGUUAGCGGCGGACGGGUGAGUAACACGUGGAUAACCUACCUAUAAGACUGGGAUAACUUCGGGAAACCGGAGCUAAUACCGGAUAAUAUAUUGAACCGCAUGGUUCAAUAGUGAAAGACGGUUUUGCUGUCACUUAUAGAUGGAUCCGCGCCGCAUUAGCUAGUUGGUAAGGUAACGGCUUACCAAGGCAAGGAGGCGUAGCCGACCUGAGAGGUGGAUCGGCAGCCUGGAAGCGAGGACGCGGCCCAACACCGGAGGGGAGAAACGGGAGGGAAUCCUACGGGAAGGGGGAAAGGCGAACGGUGCAAACGCGCGUGAGUGAUGAAGGUCUUCGGAUCGUAAAACUCUGUUAUUAGGGAAGAACAAAUGUGUAAGUAACUAUGCACGUCUUGACGGUACCUAAUCAGAAAGCCACGGCUAACUACGUG